GCUCUGGGUGUGCUGCAGCCAGACUAGGGUCAGCUGCCCCCGGGCUACUUCCAACCUCCCCCUCUACCAGUACCUGCAUCUCAGCGGCAUCUUCCACAGCGUCUAGCACCAUGGGCUCCUCGGGAUACUGAGCGAGGGGUAAACUAGGCAGUUCCUCUGGGUCCCUUUGUACCGUAUGGAUCUUUUGUUUUGCCCU